CAUCCUCAUGUCGACAUCCAAACCCCCCACUGGUGUGCCUGGCCAAAGAGCUCUAUUUCCACGUCAUCCAACAAAUGUAAACGCCUGGAUAUUUUACCUUCCGCUGGUCCUGGGGCUCUUGGUAAGGUCAACGGCAUCGUGAACUCUACCCAGUUCCAGGACAUUUGAACCAAAAACCUGAUUACCCAUGCCAUGAGGCUGAAACUUGGCCACAAGUAGAUUUUCCAAGAAAGACAAUCAACCCGAGCACACAUCAAACAAAGUCUCCGGGCUUAAACCCCCAUUUGAAACACUGCGGUUUGAAUUGAAAAGGGCCAUAAGAACAGAUGAAGGAUAUCAACGAUCUGGAAAGAUUCUGUACGGAGGAACAUUCUAAGAUUCACUCCCGAUGUGUUCUAGAAUCUAAGAAAACAUUCUAGAAUAAAAGCUCAGUGCCAUUAACCCCAGUAUUUGUAUCAAUUAUUAUGAUAGUAUGUGUUCUAGAAUCUCAUAUUUUUGUUCUUGUAGGUUGAAAAGACUAUGUCAUUAACCUCACAAGGUGAGGUAUUGAAAGGUAUUGAAAGUGUCAUUAUCCUCACAAGGUGAGGUAUUGAAAGGUAUUGCCAGUGUCAUUAUCCUCACAAGGUGAGGAAUUGAAAGGUAUUGACAGUGUCAUUAUCCUCACAAGGUGAGGUAUUGAAAGGUAUUGACAGUGUCAUUAUCCUCACAAGGUGAGGUAUUGAAAGGUAUUGACAGUGUCAUUAUCCUCACAAGGUGAGGUAUUGAAAGGUAUUGACAGUGUCAUUAUCCUCACAAGGUGAGGUAUUGAAAGGUAUUGACAGUGUCAUUAUCCUCACAAGGUGAGGUAUUGAAAGGUAUUGACAGUGUCAUUAUCCUCACAAGGUGAGGUAUUGAAAGGUAUUGACAGUGUCAUUAUCCUCACAAGGUGAGGUAUUGAAAGGUAUUGACAGUGUCAUUAUCCUCACAAGGUGAGGUAUUGAAAGGUAUUGACAGUGUCAUUAUCCUCACAAGGUGAGGUAUUGAAAGGUAUUGACAGUGUCAUUAUCCUCACAAGGUGAGGUAUUGAAAGGUAUUGACAGUGUCAUUAUCCUCACAAGGUGAGGUAUUGAAAGGUAUUGACAGUGUCAUUAUCCUCACAAGGUGAGGUAUUGAAAGGUAUUGACAGUGUCAUUAUCCUCACAAGGUGAGGUAUUGAAAGGUAUUGACAGUGUCAUUAUCCUCACAAGGUGAGGUAUUGAAAGGUAUUGACAGUGUCAUUAUCCUCACAAGGUGAGGUAUUGAAAGGUAUUGACAGUGUCAUUAUCCUCACAAGGUGAGGUAUUGAAAGGUAUUGACAGUGUCAUUAUCCUCACAAGGUGAGGUAUUGAAAGGUAUUGACAGUGUCAUUAUCCUCACAAGGUGAGGUAUUGAAAGGUAUUGACAGUGUCAUUAUCCUCACAAGGUGAGGUAUUGAAAGGUAUUGACAGUGUCAUUAUCCCCACAAGGUGAGGUAUUGAAAGGUAUUGACAGUGUCAUUAUCCUCACAAGGUGAGGUAUUGAAAGGUAUUGACAGUGUCAUUAUCCCCACAAGGUGAGGUAUUGAAAGGUAUUGACAGUGUCAUUAUCCCCACAAGGUGAGGUAUUGAAAGGUAUUGACAGUGUCAUUAUCCUCACAAGGUGAGGUAUUGAAAGGUAUUGACAGUGUCAUUAUCCCCACAAGCUGAGGUAUUGAAAGGUAUUGAAAGAUAUUGAAAGGUAUUGACAACAGUCAUUUUUGAAACCUAUCUUUUUGAGAGAAAGAAAUAUAUUAGUAUAAAAUAAUAUAAUUUCCCAUUUUGUUUUGACAAUAUAGCUCAGUAUUUGAAUUCAGCCAGACUUAAUAACCAUAAAUGUAUAGAUACUCCAUCAUGUCUAGGCCAGACUUAA